rnacentral:rRNA from 1 species
GACGAACGCUGGCGGCGUGCUUAACACAUGCAAGUCGAACGGAAAGGCCCUGCUUUUGUGGGGUGCUCGAGUGGCGAACGGGUGAGUAACACGUGAGUAACCUGCCCUUGACCUUGGGAUAACUUCAGGAAACUGGGGCUAAUACCGGAUAGGAGCUCCUGCUGCAUGGUGGGGGGUGGAAAGUUUCGGCGGUUGGGGAUGGACUCGCGGCUUAUCAGCUUGUUGGUGGGGUAGUGGCUUACCAAGGCUUUGACGGGUAGCCGGCCUGAGAGGGUGACCGGCCACAUUGGGACUGAGAUACGGCCCAGACUCCUACGGGAGGCAGCAGUGGGGAAUAUUGCACAAUGGGCGGAAGCCUGAUGCAGCAACGCCGCGUGCGGGAUGACGGCCUUCGGGUUGUAAACCGCUUUCGCCUGUGACGAAGCGUGAGUGACGGUAAUGGGUAAAGAAGCACCGGCUAACUACGUG